rnacentral:rRNA from 1 species
UACGGGGGGAGCAAGCGUUGUUCGGAUUUACUGGGCGUAAAGGGCGCGUAGGCGGCGUGACAAGUCACUUGUGAAAUCUCCGGGCUUAACCCGGAGCGGCCAAGUGAUACUGUCGUGCUAGAGUGCGGAAGGGGCUACUGGAAUUCUCGGUGUAGCGGUGAAAUGCGUAGAUAUCGAGAGGAACACCUGCGGCGAAGGCGGGUAGCUGGGCCGACACUGACGCUGAGACGCGAAAGCGUGGGGAGCGAACAGG